CAUUGCACUUCCCGGAGCGGCAGCCAGACGGGGCCGGCAGUCACCCUUCCUUCCCCUUGACUUGGAGAUGCUAAACAGAGGAACUGAGGGCGCCUUCACCUACCAUCAUUGGUUAUGAGGAAAAACGAACAGCACAAAUAUGAGGAGGCCGUUUAACAGAACCAGAUUUCCUUCUGCAAGCCUCACUGCAAGUAAAGACCUCAUAACAGCGUUUGCAGGGUGACAGCUGGACAGCAACAGAACGUCCGCACUGAUAGCAGUACUUAAAGAUGGGCAGCCUGGAACAAAGAAUGACGCGCUCACGGAGCUUUGCUGUAAUGUGCUCUAGCAGUGCCUGGCGUGCUUGAACAACUUCCUGCUCAGAUGCUGACAGCAUGUGGUACGGUGUGUUAGCAAUUCUCCUGUCCUGAAACAUAGUGUGAGUUAAUCCACUGACGUAUGGGAGCAUUAAAUCUAACGCAAUUUUCUCAAAGCUACACCAAGCCAUUCCAAAAGCACAGCACUGUCCCUAAUAGAUCCUGGCUAGGAGCUUCACGUGUGAUGAGGGGCACGGGACAUGCCCAGGUCUGAAGUUGUGGUGUUGUGCUUAUCAGUUUGAACUAAAACAGUUUUCAAACGUUUCAAUAAGGUGGAAGCUGCCCUCAUCUUGCAGAGCUCCUCUCCCAGCACCUGUGAAAGUGCUGAGAAGCUUCCUGGAAAUGGAAAGACAUCCAGAGGGUGCUGCUUGCCCACUGUUAUGUUUCUCCCUAAAAAAGCUAUAUAUAUGUAUAUGAAUAAAGGCAGAAUUGCUUCCAA